rnacentral:rRNA from 1 species
AAACCAACCGGGAUCGCCUUAGUAAGGGGGAGUGAAGCGGCAAAAGCUCAAAUUUGAAAUCUGGUACUUUAGGUUCCCGAGUUGUAAUUAGUAGAAUUUAUUUUGGGGGUGUUCCUGUUUAAUUUCCCUGGAAACAGGACGUCAUAGGGGGGGAGAACCCCGU